ACGCAGUUCGGCUGGGCACUCUAAAGGGACUGCCGGUGUUAAACCGGAGGAAGGUGGGGAUGACGUCAAGUCCUCAUGGCCUUUAUGACCAGGGCUACACACGUACUACAAUGGCCGAUACAAAGGGCAGCGACACUGCGAGGUGAAGCCAAUCCCGUAAAAUCGGUCUCAGUCCGGAUUGGAGUCUGCAACUCGACUCCAUGAAGUUGGAAUCGCUAGUAAUCGUGGAUCAGCAUGCCACGGUGAAUACGUUCCCGGGCCUU
rnacentral:rRNA from 1 species